GAAUCUUGAAAUAGGUAAGACCAGAAUGGCGAAGAUUUUGUUUCUCUUGCUUUUGGUCAAUAUUUUAGCAACAUGCUAUAUGCAGCUGAUUACUCCAAUGAUGGCGUGUAAAAUGGAGUGUCUUCGGGAUAAAAACGUCACAAGCGCUCUGUAUGACAGUGAAGAGGCCAAAGAAUGCAGACAAUAUUGUCUCCAUCAUGCCUACGAUUUCUUACACCAGCUUGGGUAAAAUUGCCAGAGACGAAGUUCAACUCUUUAAUAAAGCAUGAAAAUUAC